rnacentral:rRNA from 1 species
UACGUAGGUGGCAAGCGUUGUCCGGAAUUAUUGGGCGUAAAGCGCGCGCAGGCGGUCCUUUAAGUCUGAUGUGAAAGCCCACGGCUCAACCGUGGAGGGUCAUUGGAAACUGGGGGACUUGAGUGCAGGAGAGAAGAGUGGAAUUCCACGUGUAGCGGUGAAAUGCGUAGAGAUGUGGAGGAACACCAGUGGCGAAGGCGGCUCACUGGGCCGGUCCUGACGCUGAGACGCGAAGGCGUGGGGAGCGAACGGG